rnacentral:lncRNA from 1 species
ACACUGUUCCUCUUCUGGUACUCUUCUUUGAUACGUUCCAUGUCAACUUCAGCCCGAGUAGUAACAACUCUAGUAAGGUCCCAUUCAUCUGUGCCUGUACCCUUGAUACCCAACCGAAGAACUUUCUCAAAGUAUUUCUCUGGGGUUUUCAAGCAUUCUAUUGCUGCGCUGAGUAUUUUCAGGUACUCAUCAUCAGAAUCAGUUUCCAGAUCCUGCAUCCAUGCCCAAUACAAUUAUAUUUGAUAUGAGGUGCCAGUUAAGAAUCAACAUGAAGAUAUUGAAGCAAUGAUUCAAAGUGAGCAAAUAGAAUUUCAAAGAUGGGAUAGCAAAUAGAUCCCUUGUAAACAAGGGUAAGUAAUCAAAUUGCAAGUCUUUCUAAUGUUUGAGUUGUACCUUGUUGAUUUCACUGCCAUGUUGGUCAAGGUAAUGGUUGAAUGUUGCAUUCAGCUGUGCUUUACUCCUAGUAGAAAGAAUUCGGAUGAGCUCCUCAUCAUUGUAAGCCUUGUCAGAGAUCUUCUCGUGUAGUAUAUUUGCCUCCUUUCUUGCCAAUGUCAUGUUCACCUCUGCUCCUUCGUAUCUGAAUGCAGUUACAAGAGGAACCAAAAGCUGUUCGGGGAUUAGUUUACAGCGAAAUGAGCAGAUGAAGGACAGUGAUUGUAAGACUUAUUUGGUGCGUGUAUUUUCAUUAUUCACUGGAACAACAACAAACAACAUGAAGGUUAAGGUGACUAUCUAACUUUUGACAAUGUUAUUUCAGAGACUGUAUCAUUCAACCUUUUCUUUUUUCUGGACACAGUAAACUCUAUCCCCAAUUUCCCCUGCUCAGAAGCCCAAUGGUAAUCAUUAUCCACUUUGUUCCGUUGACGAUCUGAAUUCCCAACAUUUAGGCGCGAGGUGGAUGUUACCCCUAGUCUAUCUAUCCGUUGUCACCAUUUAUCAUUCAUCUUAACAUCACAAAUGUAACCAAUAGGUGAAACAGCAUAUAUGGUAAAAAGAAU